rnacentral:rRNA from 1 species
GUCUAUGGCCAUGCCACCCUGAACAUGCUUGAUCUCGUCUGAUCCCAGAAGCUGAGCAUGGUCGGGCCUGGUUAGUACUUGGAUGGGAGACCAUUUAGGAAUACCAGGUGCUAUAGGCG